AUAAUACUCCCUCCGUCUGAAAAUACUUGUCAUGAAAAUGGAUAGAAAGAGAUGUAUCUAGUCUAGAACUAAAAUACGUAGAUACAUCCCCUUUUAUCCAUUUCGAUGACAAGUAUUUCCGGACGGAGGGAGUAAUAU
rfam:Triticum aestivum genome assembly, contig: Triticum_aestivum_CS42_TGACv1_scaffold_081176_1DS